UACGUAGGGUGCAAGCGUUGUCCGGAAUUAUUGGGCGUAAAGAGCUCGUAGGCGGUCUGUCGCGUCGGCUGUGAAAACUCGGGGCUCAACUCCGAGCUUGCAGUCGAUACGGGCAGGCUAGAGUUCGGCAGGGGAGACUGGAAUUCCUGGUGUAGCGGUGAAAUGCGCAGAUAUCAGGAGGAACACCGGUGGCGAAGGCGGCAUCCUGGACCAACACUGACGCUGAGGAGCGAAAGCCAGGGGAGCAAACGGG
rnacentral:rRNA from 1 species